rfam:Populus trichocarpa isolate Nisqually-1 chromosome 3, whole genome shotgun sequence.
UCUGCAGUGAUGAACUGUUAGCAUGUAAGUAGAUUUGUAGGGUUUCUUUGAUGAAAUAUACUUGUUACACUUGGCUUCUGAGCUUU